GACGAACGCUGGCGGCGUGCUUAACACAUGCAAGUCGAGCGAUGAAGUUUCUUCGGAAAUGGAUUAGCGGCGAACGGGUGAGUAACACGUGAGGAAUCUGCCCUUCACUUUGGAAUAACUCCGGGAAACCGUAGCUAAUACCGGAUACGAACUCUGGCGGCAUCGCCGGGGUUGGAAAGUUUUUCGGUGAAGGAUGGCUUCGCGGCCUAUAAGCUUGUUUGUGAGGUAAUGGCUCACCAAGGCGACGACGGGUAGCCGGCCUGAGAGGGCGACCGGCCACACUGGGACUGAGACACGGCCGAGACUCCUACGGGAGGCAGCAGUGGGGAAUAUUGGGCAAUGGGCGAAAGCCUGACCCAGCGACGCCGCGUGCGGGAUGAAGGCCUUCGGGUUGUAAACCGCUUUCAGCGGGGAAGAAGCGAAAGUGACGGUACCUGAAGAAGAAGCACCGGCUAACUAUGUGCCAGCCGCCGCGGUAA
rnacentral:rRNA from 1 species